UCUCUCUCAUGCGAGCUCCGCCACAACACCAUCACCGCUGCCUCCGAUUCCAGGAAGAUUUGGCACUCCCUUUUACCACCGCUCACCGGCUCAUCUCCCCCUCAUUGCUCUCCUUUGAUCUGCCAUCGUCGUGGCGUCCUCCAAACCUCUGCGAGCCCCCGGAGAAACCCUAGGCACCACGGGUCAUUGCCGCAGCUACUUCCCUCAACCCAAUAUCCCCACGUCUCCACGCGCGGCUACUGGUAAGUCCAGAUGGUGCUGCACCACCUCGCCUACCUCGACUCUGAUGUUGGUAUGGUUCAGUAAGGCACUUCUGCACACUUCCCCUCUUCUCUUGCCCUCUGUGGUACUUUGUGUGGCAUAGCUAUUAUUUGACUAACAUUAAGACAAUGAUUAACGCUAUCUCACUCACCUGAUCCACCUUUGUGGGUGCUGGCUUGCACCGGCAGUCACGACCAGUGGCGGAGCUACGAAGAAAAGGAUGGGCAGGCCAAUCUACAUGGAAACACAUUUUUUUUAAUUGUAGAUUGUAAACAUCAUGAUUUCAAUGUAUUAAUUUAUGCUAGGGAGAAGAAAUUUCAGGAAAAUCAAAAGGAUUUCCUAAGAAAAUUUAGGGGAAUUCUUUUGGGAAUAAUUCAAAGAAAUUUGACUCUGCAGCCUGCAGAGAUUCAGGCUGAUUCAGGUACUAAACAAAUGCUGAGAUGAACACAGCUUGCAUGGACUCAAAGAAAUGGGGAAAGGACCCGACCAACUAGGUAGCUGCCUUGCCGGCUGGCCGUUGCUAGCUGCGGGUCGUGGCCUCAUCAGUCCGCGACUGAUAUGUGUGUUGUCGUGGUGGCGGGCGGCCGGCGGCUAUGAGUCUGCGACUGUAUCUAGAAAGUAGCAAUGCGCGUGCGAUCUGAGCCAGUUUCCGUGGGCAGCUGCUUGUUGUACUGCUGUGCCAGAGGCGUUGAGGGUUGGGCUAGUAUAAAUUUAUUUUUCUGUUCCAGCAUUGGGCAGGCCACGACCCAAUCGGCCUUGCCAUGGCUCCGCCAGUGGUCACGACACUCUAUGGUCUGGUACUCUGUGUUCCAUGGGCAGAGACAGGGAGGGGCGAGCAGGGGCUAGAGACCUUUGCUAGCCGCUCGACCACCUCAACAAAUUUCAGUAGGUAGUUAGACUGGACGUACACGCUAUUGGCUGUCUAGUCGCAUCUAAUUACUCAUUAGCCUAGAUGUUACUGAACUAGCACCAAGUUAGAGAAUCCUAACUAGGAGGCACUAGCCCAUGAACGGUCAUGGUUGGCUUAUUGUGAUCGAUGAAUCAAUCAGAUCGUGACCUGCGCAUAUGCAUUUUCUGCACGUUCCGCACCCGGUCGUCAUCAUCCGAGAUCAUAGCAGCAGCUAUUGCUAGCGGUCUAGCGCUUGACCAACAUUGGUCUUAAAACAGUGUGUUUGCUGCGUGUCGUCGUCCACGAUGCAUUAAUCCUCAGAGUCUCCGAACCUGGCGGGACAACUCAUGCGAGUCAAUUCUAAACUUAAGGUAUAUCAUUACGAAUUUAUAUUGAUGUUAGACAUUUAAAGGUUGUUGGUUAGUGUUUUUGUCAGAUCUACUUAAAUGUGCAUGCAAGUGCUUAUGAAUUGAAUCCAUUAUUCUGUACAUGACCAAACUUUCUUGCAUAUUCAUCUUUGGGAGAAAGUUCAGGGUAUACAUAGCGAGCUACUUAUGCAGAGAGAGAGUUCAGUGCUAUGGCUCGGAUUGUUGAGAAGUGUUCAAAUGAUGAUAUAUCAGAAUUCAGAGGUGAUGACGUAUGUUGGACGAUGGAACGCUUAUUCUUUUCCACCGCUUGCUUUGACUUGGGUGUUCAGAGAAGUAAAACUUCAACUAAUGUGUUUAGUGAAGCACAAUAUUGUAUCUGAAGUGAAACUUUCUCUAUGAUAUGGAGAUUGUCAAGAUAAAUCAAGGAUGCAUGGCUUAGAAGUUGAUUGCAAGAUCGAGAAGGUGGCUAUUACUAGAUAGUUUCAGAUUAUGUUUUAGAAUGUCAUUUUCGGGUUAAUGUUUCAAACAUCAUAUUUUAUAUGUCUGAGACGUUGAUUGCAAGGUUGAGAAUCAGCCUACUACUAGAUAGUUUCACAUAUUGUAAUCUUUGUAUCAUGUUCUUUGUAAAGCAACCGAGUUGAUUUAAUAUAUAUGACCUCUUCGAUUA